GAUUCAAUACAACAUAUCACUUA
rnacentral:snRNA from 1 species